rnacentral:rRNA from 1 species
GACGAACGCUGGCGGCGUGCUUAACACAUGCAAGUCGAGCGGUAAGGCCCUUUUGGGGGUACACGAGCGGCGAACGGGUGGGUAACACGUGGGUGACCUGCCCUCAGCUCUGGGAUAAGCCUGGGAAACUGGGUCUAAUACUGGAUAUGACCUUUCCUCGCAUGGGGUUGGGUGGAAAGUUUUUCGGCUGGGGAUGGGCCCGCGGCCUAUCAGCUUGUUGGUGGGGUGAUGGCCUACCAAGGCGACGACGGGUAGCCGGCCUGAGAGGGCGACCGGCCACACUGGGACUGAGACACGGCCCAGACUCCUACGGGAGGCAGCAGUGGGGAAUAUUGCGCAAUGGGCGGAAGCCUGACGCAGCGACGCCGCGUGGGGGAUGACGGCCCUCGGGUUGUAAACCUCUUUCGACCUUGACGAAGGCCUUUCGGGGUUGGAC